GACGUAGGUGGCGAACGUUAUCCGGAAUUACUGGGCGUAAAGGGUCCGUAGGCGGACGUGUCAGUCGGUCGUGAAAGCCCCUGGCUUAACUGGGGGAAGCCGAUCGAAACUGCAGGUCUGGACACUGGCAGAGGUCGGCGGAAUUCCCGGUGUAGUGGUGGAAUGCGUAGAGAUCGGGAGGAACGCCCACAGCGAAGGCAGCCGGCUGGGCCAAGUGUGACGCUGAGGGACGAAAGCGUGGGGAGCGAACAGG
rnacentral:misc_RNA from 1 species